AGCAGCCGCGGUAAUCCCAGCUCCAAUAGCGUAUAUUAAAGUUGUUGCAGUUAAAAAGCUCGUAGUUGAAUUUCGGAAUCUGUCCGUUGGUCGGGCUUAACUGUCCGUACUGAUGUGAUGGGUUCUUACCUUCUGAAUAACCAGCAUGUCAUUAAUUUGGUGUGUUGGGGAAGCAGGACUAUUACCUUGAAAAAAUUAGAGUGCUCAAAGCAGGCUAGUGCCUGAAUACAUUAGCAUGGAAUAAUAAAAUAGGACGGCAUGGUUCUAUUUUGUUGGUUUCUAGGAUCACCGUAAUGAUUAAUAGGGAUAGUUGGGGGCAUUAGUAUUCAAUUGUCAGAGGUGAAAUUCUUGGAUUUAUUGAAGACUAACUUCUGCGAAAGCAUUUGCCAAGGAUGUUUUCAUUAAUCAAGAACGAAAGUUAGGGGAUCGAAGACGAUCAGAUACCGUCGUAGUCUUAACCAUAAACUAUGCCGACUAGGGAUCGGACGAUGUUAAUUUAUAAUGACUCGUUCGGUCCG
rnacentral:rRNA from 1 species